UACGGGGGGGGCAAGCGUUGUUCGGAAUUACUGGGCGUAAAGGGCUCGUAGGCGGCCAACUAAGUCGGAUGUGAAAUCCCCAGGCUUAACCUGGGAACUGCAUCCGAUACUGGAUGGCUUGAAUCCGGGAGAGGGAUGCAGAAUUCCAGGUGUAGCGGUGAAAUGCGUAGAUAUCUGGAGGAAUACCGGUGGCGAAGGCGGCAUUCUGGACCGGCAUUGACGCUGAUGAGCGAAAGCUAGGGGAGCAAACGGGG
rnacentral:rRNA from 1 species